rnacentral:rRNA from 1 species
UGGCGCACGGGUGCGUAACGCGUGGGAAUCUGCCCCUUGGUUCGGAAUAACAGUUAGAAAUGACUGCUAAUACCGGAUGACGACGUAAGUCCAAAGAUUUAUCGCCGAGGGAUGAGCCCGCGUAGGAUUAGCUAGUUGGUGUGGUAAAGGCGCACCAAGGCGACGAUCCUUAGCUGGUCUGAGAGGAUGAUCAGCCACACUGGGACUGAGACACGGCCCAG